AGAGUUUGAUCCUGGCUCAGGACGAACGCUGGCGGCGUGCCUAAUACAUGCAAGUAGAACGCUGAAGAGAGGAGCUUGCUCUUCUUGGAAGAGUUGCGAACGGGUGAGUAACGCGUAGGUAACCUGCCUUGUAGCGGGGGAUAACUAUUGGAAACGAUAGCUAAUACCGCAUAACAAUGGGUGACCCAUGUCAUUCAUUUGAAAGGGGCAAAUGCUCCACUACAAGAUGGACCUGCGUUGUAUUAGCUAGUAGGUGAGGUAACGGCUCACCUAGGCGACGAUACAUAGCCGACCUGAGAGGGUGAUCGGCCACACUGGGACUGAGACACGGCCCAGACUCCUACGGGAGGCAGCAGUAGGGAAUCUUCGGCAAUGGGGGCAACCCUGACCGAGCAACGCCGCGUGAGUGAAGAAGGUUUUCGGAUCGUAAAGCUCUGUUGUAAGUCAAGAACGAGUGUGAGAGUGGAAAGUUCACACUGUGACGGUAGCUUACCAGAAAGGGACGGCUAACUACGUGCCAGCAGCCGCGGUAAUACGUAGGUCCCGAGCGUUGUCCGGAUUUAUUGGGCGUAAAGCGAGCGCAGGCGGUUUGAUAAGUCUGAAGUUAAAGGCUGUGGCUCAACCAUAGUUCGCUUUGGAAACUGUCAAACUUGAGUGCAGAAGGGGAGAGUGGAAUUCCAUGUGUAGCGGUGAAAUGCGUAGAUAUAUGGAGGAACACCGGUGGCGAAAGCGGCUCUCUGGUCUGUAACUGACGCUGAGGCUCGAAAGCGUGGGGAGCGAACAGGAUUAGAUACCCUGGUAGUCCACGCCGUAAACG
rnacentral:rRNA from 1 species